rnacentral:rRNA from 1 species
AGAUGGGCAUGCGUUCCAUUAGGUAGUUGGUGAGGUAACGGCUCACCAAGCCGACGAUGGAUAGGGGAACUGAGAGGUUGGUCCCCCACACUGGUACUGAGACACGGACCAGACUCCUACGGGAGGCAGCAGUGAGGAAUAUUGGUCAAUGGGGCGGGAGCCUGAACCAGCCAAGUCGCGUGAAGGAAGAAGGAUCUAUGGUUCGUAAAACUUCUUUUGCAGGGGGAAUAAAGUGCAGGACGUGUCCUGUUUUGUAUGUACCCUGAGAAUAAGGAUCGGCUAACUCCGUGCCAGCAGCCGCGGUAAUACGGAGGAUCCGAGCGUUAUCCGGAUUUAUUGGGUUUAAAGGGUGCGUAGGUGGUUUGAUAAGUCAGCGGUGAAAGUUUGCAGCUUAACUGUAAAAAAUGCCGUUGAAACUGUCGGACUUGAGUGUAAAUGAGGUAGGCGGAAUGCGUGGUGUAGCGGUGAAAUGCAUAGAUAUCACGCAGAACUCCGAUUGCGAAGGCAGCUUACUAAG